UUUUCCUACGGGAGGCAGCAGUGAGGAAUAUUGGUCAAUGGGCGGGAGCCUGAACCAGCCAAGCCGCGUGAAGGAAGAAGGCGCCAGGCGUCGUAAACUUCUUUUGUCGGGGAACAAAGGGCGCCACGCGUGGCGUUGUGAGUGUACCCGAAGAAAAAGCAUCGGCUAACUCCGUGCCAGCAGCCGCGGUAAUACGGAGGAUGCGAGCGUUAUCCGGAUUUAUUGGGUUUAAAGGGUGCGUAGGCGGAUUUUUAAGUCAGCGGUAAAAUGUCCGGGCUCAACCCGGGCCGGCCGUUGAAACUGGG
rnacentral:rRNA from 1 species